rnacentral:rRNA from 1 species
AGUGAUUAUUGCGAAGAGGAAACACCUGUCUAUCAUCCCGAACACAGAAGUUAAGCUCUUCCGCGCCGAAGAUAGUUGGCCUUGCGCCCGCGAAAAUAGGUCGUCGCU